GGUCUGGCAGGCGUAGGGUUGAGACCAAGUGUGUCACUUCCUGAGGUUGCGACUUUGGCGAUUUCUCUGGGUUCCCCUCCACACUGGGACAAAAGCCACUUUGGGAGGGUUUUCAGUGAGUGAUUUUUGGAAGCAGAUCACCAGGCCUUUCUUCCAAGGUGCCUCUGAAUGGACUUGAACCUCCAACCUUUUGGUUAGCAGUCAAGUGCGUUAACCAUUUUCAUCACCCAGGAGCUUCCAGGCGGAUUUAGGGUUCAGAGAAAGGAAGGUUAGGUUUCCUAGUCAUCAUGGCUCUCGGAACUGACCCAUUCUCUCUCCCUGGGUUUGCUUGAGAUGUUCUCCCCACUGAAGACACUGAGGGGUGACUGCUGAAGGAGGCAGAGGAGAAGAAGGUACAGCCCUC